GAUCUGGCUGCGACAUCUGUCACCCCAUUGAUCGCCAGGGUUGAUUUGGCUGAUCUGGCUGGCUAGGCGGGUGUCCCCUUCCUCCCACACCGCUCCAUGUGCGUCCCUCCCAAAGCUGCGCGCUCGGUCGAAGAGGACAACCAUCCCCGAUAGAGGGAGGACCGUUGUGUAGGGAAGAGUGAACUUGAGAAUCUCUAGGG